rnacentral:lncRNA from 1 species
CAUGCCAAGCCAAGGAGUUUGGAGUUUAAUCUGAAAUAUGUGGGGAAUCAUUAGGGAAGCAAGCAUGGAGAUGACGUGAUUAUGUUGUAGAACAGCACUAUGCAAUAGAACCUUAUGCAAUAAUGGAAAUGUUCUCUAUCUGCACUGCUGAGUAGGUAACCAUAAGCCACAGGGGCUAUUGAGUACUUAAAAUGUGUGGCUUGAGUGACUGAGAAAUUGAAUUUUAAAUUUUAUUUAAUUUUAAUUUAAACUUGAAUAGCUCCAUGUGACUAGUGGCUACUAUUGGACAACACCGUUCUAGAAAGAUCAUUUGGAGAAUGGAUUGAAGGUGAUUUGGAGAUCUAAUUUUGAGGUAACUAUUAAAUGGAGACAUUCUAAAAUAAAUAUCUCUGGAGCCCAUGAGAGGGAGAUCUGGACUGAAGUUGUAAUUUUGGAGACUAUCAGCAGCUUGACUGAGAGAAAAAGAGAAGAAGACCACGGGAUAAAGGGGAGCACAAAGGCAAAAGAUAGGACGCCUACCACAGCAUGGCUUGCCAAGCGGUGUCAUGUCCGCACCCGGGAUCCAAACCAGAGAACCCCAGGCCACCGAGAAGUGGAUCAUGAGAACUUAACCGCUACGCCACCAGGCCGGCCCCGGAUCUGGGACUUUUUAAGACAUGGAAAAAUGUUUUUGUUAUAAUGUUGACUAAAAUAAGAAUAUGAUUUCAAUGACAAAAAAAAAGGAAAUAAACUGAAAAAUGUCAUUAUUUUCCCCAUGUAUACAGCAGAAAUUAUUUGAUCUCUAGACAUUAUGCAAUCAUGGUAGUUGGUGGUUAGGGUGAGAAUAAAUGCUUAUAUCUAUAUGUGUAUCGAAGGUACUCAUCCAUUUUAAAAACAUUUAUAAACAUUGGAGUGGAAAUAAA